GAUGAAAAUAAAGAAGCUGAAGCAUGUCAGUGGGGAAUAAUGCAACAAGAACUCAUAAAAUCUUAUUCUCUCAGGUGAGCAAGGUUGAGCCAUGAAUAUUCAAAACAUGGUCUGCCUGACUAUGCCACCCCUGGGAAAAAUCAACAAGAAGGGAUGGAUGUGGUGGAAAGCAAGGAACAGUGAAGGCUAUUGCAAAUGGAGGGGUAGAAGGAAAGCAUAAACCCACCAGAAAUGAUGGUGCAGACAAUCAGUAGAGGAUUUUAAAAAAUUAAAAUGUGACACCAGUGUUGAAGUCAUAAUGCCCACGAAUGCUGUUAGAUCCUUGGAAGACACUGAUGGCCUCCAAUUCAUCUACAUGGUCUGAACACUAGAGAUUAAAUCAAGUUUUGUGACUGUUCACAGAAAAUUUAAAGUCUCUUUUCAAGUUCCUCAGCAUCCACUGCCUUGUAUAACAGUCACACAGGCAGGUCUCUCUGGGCUGAUAGAGAGUGAGCUCCUGCUGUGAAGGGAACCUGUCUGAUUUAUCCCUGUGUUCCACCUCGACCUUGCUGGUACACUUAGCAGAUACUCAGUCAACAUCCAUGGGGCAAUGCAUGCCUGGCUCAUCAGACGGAGGUUUUUGUUUUGUUUUGUUUUGUUUUGUUGUUGUUGUUGUUGUUGUUUUAACCUGUAUCAUCUCUUAUAAUUCAUGGAGUUUUUUAAAAAAAGCAAUUUUGUGGGUAAAAUUCCUUCCCAUGGUACAACAUUGAAAGGUAAAUUGGUAAUAACAAAUUGCAACAGUUGAUAUAGUUCUAAAACAAGGAAGAUGGAAAAGUAAUCAAGAAAUUCUUUAGAUACAAUUUGUAUUCCAAUAACUAUAUUAUAAUAGGUGCUCAUCCAUUUGGGAAAUGUAUUUACAAAAUAAAAUUGUGUGGAAGUGAAAAACAGCAAA